CGAAAGAGGAAGCAGAUGGGAGCAAAGCGCCCGCGGCUCUGAGCAGCCAAGCGUCUCUUUUUCGAUUUCUUUGUUCUUCCUGCUCCUUGGCAAAGUGGUCCACUACAGAUUAACGGUGAAAGGAGCUUUAACAGACUGUGCGAAAUCUCUAUUAAAGCCGCUGCUUUGAGCACCACGCUCAGCACUUCAGCAACCCCCGUACGCAGCGGCCAUCUUCCUCCUGUAAUUCAGUGCACCACCCUGACUGCUGAAAGUUCUGGAUCCUGGGUUCGAGGAAUAUAAUUCCCCGUCUGGGCCACCAAUUGCUGCGACCCCUCGCCGGCAAGGGAAAACAUGACACAGGAUUCUUCUUUCAGCAGUUUAUUCAGGCCUUGUUUCAUGUAUCAUCUUCUAGCGCCCCCCAUUUAUUGAUUCUUGAUUUUUAUUUUUGCACUUCAGGAGUCUUGUUGAGGAAUUCAGUUCCUAAGCCAACAUGAUGGAUAUUUGGGCCUACUUUUUCGUCUAGUAGGUGCAGAGUCUCUGGUCUUAUGCCUAGGUCCUUGAUCUACUUUGAGUUGAACUUUGUGCAGGAUGAGAGAUAGGAGUCUAAUUUCACUUUAUUGGAUUUCUAGUUUUCCCUGCACCAUUUGUUCAAGAGGCUAUCUUUUCUCCAAUGUUGUUUAUGGUGCCUUUGUCCAGUAUGGGAUAAUUGUAAUUAUGUAGGUUUGUCUCUGUCUCUUCUAGUCUAUAUCAUUGAUUUUCAUGUCUGCUUUGGUAACAAUACCAUGCUGUUUUUGUUCCUAUAGCUCUGUAGUAUAAUUUAAACUCUGGUAUUGUGAUGCCUCCUGAUUCACUUUUCUUGCUGAGGACUGUUUUGUCUAUUCUGAACCUCUUAUUUUUCCAAAUGAAUUUCAUGACUGCUUUUUGUAUUUCUAUGAAGAAUGUCAUCUGAACCUUAAUAGGAAUUGCAUUGAAUCUGUAUAGUGCUUUUGGAAGUAUGGUCAUUUUGACAAUAUUAAUUCUGCCUAUCUAAGAACAUAGGAGAUCUUUCCAUUGUCUAAGGUCUUCUUCAAUUUCUUACUUUAGUGUUCUGUAGUUUUCAUUGUAGAGGACUUUCAUCUCUUUUGUUAGAUUGAUUCUCAACUAUUUUAUUUUCUUUGAGGCUAUUGUGAAUAGUUUUCCUAAUUUCUUUUUCAGUUGAUUCAUCACUGAUGUAUAGAAAUGCAAUUGAUUUAUUGGUGCUAGUUUUAUAUCCUGCAACUUUGCUGAAUUUGUUAUGAGUUCAAGGAGUUUUCUGGUGGAGAUUUUUG
rnacentral:lncRNA from 1 species